rnacentral:rRNA from 1 species
UGUCCUUAGUUACCAGCACGUUAUGUGGGCGACUCUAAGGAGGACUGCCGGUGACAAACCGGAGGAAGUGGGGAUGACGUCAAGUCAUCAUGGCCCUUACGGCCUGGGCUACACACGUGCUACAAUGGUCGGUACAAAGGGUUGCCAAGCCGCGAGGUGGAGCUAAUCCCAUAAAACCGAUCGUAGUCCGGAUCGCAGUCUGCAACUCGACUGCGUGAAGUCGGAAUCGCUAGUAAUCGUGAAUCAGAAUGUCACGGUGAAUACGUUCCCGGGCCUU